AGAUGUCUCUGUCAAUACUCUCAGUACUAUUAGAUACAGCUAUAAACUCGACAGAGUACAACACAAGUACUCAAGACAGUAACAUUGACUGUGAUCCACAGGAGUUGACUCAGGAAGGACAGUACUUAUUUUACCAGCUGAUGCUAAUACCGUCUGUGUUAGAAUUUGUUAUUUUCUCGUUUAUGGUGACAAGAAAAAAUAAGUUCUUGGACAAAUGUGCAUCAAGACCGGGUAUUGUGUAGUGAGUAUCAGUACAAAUGUACAAC